CCCUAUCUCUUUUAAAAAAAAAUUUAAGAAGUAGAUUUAGUGUGAAGAUUCAAGAAAAGAAAGAGCAAGCAAAACUUUAAGGAGAGGAGAAUCGAAAUUGGCUGUCUUCAUCCUGGACAUAAUGGACACACCAAUUCAUGUUACAUACUAGAGUUAACUAAGUGUUUUCAGAAACAGUUGCCAUUAAACCAACAUAGUUAUUGAAGCUCUGCUCUGUGUUCUGUGAUAGGCACUGUGGAUUCAGCAGAGACUAAAUCAAAGUCCUUGAUCUCAGAGGACAUAUUUCAUCUAAUUGAAUUCACAUAUCAGCCUUAUGAGGAGGUGUUCUUCCUGUUUCAGAACUGAAGGAAAAGCUGAACAGGUGGUCUUUGGAAAGGACAGAAGCCAGGAUAGUUCCAGCGACCAGGCAGCAGACACCAAUAGUCAAUGCUUCUACUUUGGGUCAAGAGAGAGAACUCCAAUAGGCUUAGGGUGGGUCAGGUGCUCACACUCCUCUAAGGAAGGGGAGGGUCCCUUGAAGAAUAGUACCAUAGACUACCCAAUGUUGGAGGAUAAUGGCCCCAAUGCAAAAAUGGGAUCCUGCUACCAGACGAAUGGGAUACAGAUGCCAGGUAGCAAAAUCCAACAAAUGUACACGUGCCAAAAUCCCAACUCCAUCACUAAGAGCCACGCAAUCCUCUGAAUAUCAAUUAGAUUAAUUGACACUCUUUUUCCUCUUGCUACUGUGGUACAUGCAGUAGUUACCUUUAUUCUUCACUUUGUUUUCUCAUAAGACUAACCAAGGAGUUUUUUAAAAUAAAGAAAUAAAAGCAAAA
rnacentral:lncRNA from 1 species